rnacentral:lncRNA from 1 species
AGAACCAGCAGACCACAGACCCUGGUGCUGGUUCUCUGUCCAGCUUCCUGGCGUUUGAGGGUAAAGCUGUCUGUAUUCUCCUUUCAUCAAAGGGCCCAGUAACAAUGCCACUGGUCAGUCCCGAGCCAUGAUCGCUGCAGCAGCUCGGCGCAGGGACUCCAGCCACAACGAGUUGUAUUAUGAAGAGGCCGAACACGAGCGGAGGGUGAAGAAGCGGAGAGCGAGACUGGUGGUGGCUGUGGAAGAAGCCUUCAUCCACAUCCAGCGCCUCCAGGCUGAGGAGCAGCAGAAGUCUCCAGGGGAGGUGAUGGACCCCAGAGAGGCGGCUCAGGCCAUCUUCCCCUCCAUGGCCAGGGCGCUGCAGAAAUACCUGCGCACCACCCGGCAGCAGCA